AGGUGCUGCCUCCAGGGCUCUGAAGCUUCUCUUCCUGUAGUACACUGAGGAUCGACUGCAACCUGGGACUCUCGGCUCCUACACCAGGGCUUUGCAUCAAUUAUCCUGUCGUGGAUUAUUUUACCUCCCUGUAAUAAAAGGACACCAGUUGGAGGCAGCAGGGCAUUCCAGCCAUUAACCUUCCCAGGAAGUCCAAAGAACUUCUCAUCUUAUGGUUGUGGAAAUUGAGACCCCAAACUGACAAGACAAUAGCCCAAAUAAUAGACCAGAACUUUUCUCCAGUGACUGAUGGAAGCAGA